GAUGAACGCUGGCGGCGUGCCUAACACAUGCAAGUCGAACGGAGAUGCGAUGUGAGCGAGAGGUGCUUGCACUGAUUAAUCUUUUCGUAUCUUAGUGGCGGACGGGUGAGUAACGCGUGGGUAACCUGCCUUAUACCGGGGGAUAACACUUAGAAAUAGGUGCUAAUACCGCAUAAGCGCACGGUGUCGCAUGACACAGUGUGAAAAACUCCGGUGGUAUAAGAUGGACCCGCGUCUGAUUAGCCAGUUGGCAGGGUAACGGCCUACCAAAGCGACGAUCAGUAGCCGGCCUGAGAGGGUGAACGGCCACAUUGGGACUGAGACACGGCCCAAAACUCCUACGGGAGGCAGCAGUGGGGAAUAUUGCACAAUGGGGGAAACCCUGAUGCAGCGACGCCGCGUGAGCGAAGAAGUAUUUCGGUAUGUAAAGCUCUAUCAGCAGGGAAGAAAAAAUAGACGGUACCUGACUAAGAAGCCCCGGCUAACUACGUGCCAG
rnacentral:rRNA from 1 species